UACAGAGGUCCCGAGCGUUGUUCGGAUUCACUGGGCGUAAAGGGUGCGUAGGUGGUUGGGUAAGUCUGAUGUGAAAUCUCCGGGCUCAACCCGGAAAUGGCAUUGGAUACUAUUCGGCUAGAGGUCUGGAGGGGGGACUGGAAUUCUCGGUGUAGCAGUGAAAUGCGUAGAUAUCGAGAGGAACACCUGCGGCGAAGGCGGGUUGCUGGGCCGACACUGACGCUGACAGCGCGAAAGCUAGGGGAGCGAACGGG
rnacentral:rRNA from 1 species